UUCCCAGUGGCACAAUUGGUAAUCGCGCAGUAUUUAUAUUGCCGAGGCUGUGAGUUCGAGCCUCACCUGGGGAA